AUGGAGAGACUUGUUAAUGUUCAUUACAUUGACAAGGAGGCAUUCUUGAGUAACAAUGCCGACACGGGUGAGGAACCAUUGGUUUUUGAUAGAAGCCCUAGCUAUGAGGAUGUUGUUGCAAAAGUGAGACAAGUCUUGAAGUGGAUGGACACCAAUGUUGAUGUUAAGUUAAUAGGAAGGUAUGAUGUUGGAGUUGGAGCCAAAUCUCGCUUGAAAAGUAUGCCUAUCACCUCGGAUUUGCAUUGGGAUGUAUACAAGGAAAAAGUAUCCCAAUCGGAAGACAAGUCACUUGAAUUGUUUGCCACCACAGAAUCUCCUCGGUUUACCUUUGAUUUGAACCGGCAUGUCUCUUCCCCAAUGGAUGACAUGAGCGAGAGGACAAUGGUGCCACUUGUUGAGCAUAGGGUUGUGGUUGAUGCCCCCAAUGUUUAUCCCCCAUCAUGUCCCCGUGUACCAACUAUCAAACAUUCAUAG
rnacentral:rRNA from 1 species